CUUUUUCUCCAUGGAUUCAGUACGAGAGAACAAUACAGUCCACAGCGAAACAUUAAGGAAGUCCUGGCCAGUCAUGAAGCCAACAUAGAGGAAUAGCUACAGAAGGGAAAGAUGUCUUGCCUGCUGAUUGUACUGUUUUAUUGAAAGACGGAGGCGACGGAUUGGUUGCAUCUGCCGCUGCCUUUUGAGAGGCAUCCCAGACCCUCACUUGGUGCUGACACAUAACUCCCAAAACAGUGGAUCUUCAGAGACUUAAAGACAGUGUAAUCCCCUGGUGUUUGGUCUGACAGCACAAUAAGUGUUGCAGACCAAUUGUGGACAAAACGGUGCUGGUCAGUUGGGUAGGUAGGCUCCGAGGACUGUGUUAUGAGUUAUUAUUUUGGUAGUGUUAAGUCUCCCAACAUAAUCACCAUUUUGUAUAAGAAAACUUUGUUGAGUUGUCUUUUUGUUGUUACUAUAGGCAGUCCUUGAGUUACACACACCUGCACUUAAGAAUGGGGUCCCAAUACGGUACUGUACGUAGUAUACCACAGAAAUAUCUAAUUAAAGUAUUUUUUCACAUUAAUUAUUGUUUAGCAUGACUUUAUUUACAGUACAACUACUGUAGUAUUUAUAUUAUUUUUGUAUGGGAUAAGACUUUUAUGGUCAGGGUUGUAACUAAAAUCCCAUUUCUUACAUAAUAUUGUUUAACAACUUUAUUUACAGAAUUUAUAUUUGUUGUGUGUGGGAUAUGUUGUUUUGUAUGGUCGUUAACCUAUAGAAUCAACAUUGUUCUGGCUUUUGAACAAGGUCCUAGCUCGGGGAAUGCCAUGUUUAUAGUCUGUUAUGAGUGUCCAGCCCACGGUGCCAGAAGAACAUGUCCCCUCAAGAUAAGUCAUAUUUAUUAUUUUCUUAAUUUUAAGUCCCUCAUAAUAAAUUGUCACUGUAUAUAUGACUUGUUAUGUCUUACUGCAAUUCAAGAGGAGGCAACUAAUCAUCCCAUGUUAUUUGCAUUAACUUACCGUAUAGUGCGGCCCAUAAGUCGGCCCGGCGUAUAAGACGACCUUAAUUAUUUCAACAUAAAUUGUUAAUGUGGGCCCAUACCUGGCAGAUAAGUCGAUCUAUAAACUGCAAUUUGAAAACUAUGUCCUCAGUGUUUGCUAAACAUACUUUUUAACAGCACUCAAACAAGUUUUACCUAAAUGUAACAUUUUCAAAAUGUUAAAAUACCUUUUAGUGUUAGUUUUCUUACAAACAAAUGUUACCAGGGCACAUGAAUGGUGUAAACAAAUCACAAUAAUACAGUUCGUACAAGAUUAAAAAUAUAUAAGAUACUCUGUACACUCGGUGAGUAAUGACAAUAAGAUUAAUACAGUACUGCAUCCCCAGAUAACUCACAAAUUUUUAUUUUGCUGCAUUCGAUUGUUUGCGGAUGACACCCUGGAUGUACCCAAAAAUGUCUGCGGGUAGUUUUAAAAUUGCCGACAUUUUUGCUGCUGGUGCUGGGAGCACGCGAGUUUUGUGGCGUCCCGUAAGGUCUCUCUCGUGAUCUAAAUAUGAUAAAUAAUAACUAGGUGGGGGGAAGGUUAUACUACAGGGCAUUUCAACAUAGUGACUGCAAAAAAGGUAAGAUUGACUGAGAGUGAACACACUGGUUGAUUACAACACAGGGAAAAGAAAUAAUUGUCUUUAGGUGAAACACAUAAAGGGAAUAUACAUUUCUCUACACACAGGUAAAAAUGUAACCCUGCACCGCCCCCGUCGGUAAAUGUUAUUCGUGCCAUUUUGAGAACCUAACCCCACGAAUUUUAAGGGCCUGCUUUACAGUACAUAUAAUGUACUAUAAACAGUCCUAUACAUGUAGAUAAUAAUUGUGGUA